rnacentral:rRNA from 1 species
UACGUAGGGUGCGAGCGUUGUCCGGAAUUAUUGGGCGUAAAGGGCUCGUAGGCGGUCUGUCGCGUCGGGAGUGAAAACUCAGGGCUUAACCCUGAGCCUGCUUCCGAUACGGGCAGACUAGAGGUAUGCAGGGGAGAACGGAAUUCCUGGUGUAGCGGUGAAAUGCGCAGAUAUCAGGAGGAACACCGGUGGCGAAGGCGGUUCUCUGGGCAGUAACUGACGCUGAGGAGCGAAAGUGUGGGGAGCGAACAGG